UACGUAGGGUGCAAGCGUUGUCCGGAAUCAUUGGGCGUAAAGCGCGUGUAGGCGGCUCGGUAAGUCUGCUGUGAAAGUCCAGGGCUCAACCCUGGGGAUGCCGGGUGGAUACUGUCGAGCUCGAGUCCGGAAGAGGCGAGUGGAAUUCCUGGUGUAGCGGUGAAAUGCGCAGAUAUCAGGAGGAACACCAAUGGCGAAGGCAGCUCGCUGGGA
rnacentral:rRNA from 1 species